UUAAGUUCAGCGGGUAUCCCUACCUGAUCCGAGGUCAACCUGUAAAAAUAAGGGGUUGCUGGCAAGCAACCUGCCAGACUCAAUCGCGAGGAGUAUUACUACGCGUAGAGCCGACAGGCACCGCCACUGAUUUUAGGGGCCGCGAGACCGCGAACCCCAAUACCAAGCGAAGGCUUGAGUGGUUAUAAUGACGCUCGAAC
rnacentral:misc_RNA from 1 species